AGAAUGUUGACUACUGGUCCUUUACAGAAAAAGUUGGCUGACUCUUGCUCUAGGAGUCAAUUUGAAGUCCUAAACGAAAAACACCAGGGGUUCAAAUACUGAAUACAAACAAGUGAAUGAUUGGAUAAGCAAAGAAGACCUGCAAAUUGGACCAACUACGUAUACUCAAGAAGUGCAUGCCACAAGCUCUGCAUGGGUUUGAAUCCUACUUUACAGUGCACAUCUGAAAAUGGUUUCAUGGGGAGAGAAGAUGAAUUUUCCUCGGCACUUUGCAGGACCAGCCUUUGUUGGAUGCCCAUGGAGACAAGCUGCAAUGAUUUGCUCUCAGGAGCAAAGGAACUUUGUGGCCCACGUAUUCACAUGAACCCAGGAUUGCAGUAAGGGCAGCGGGAGAUCUGCUCAGGAGAGGCCGUUCUUGAAUAUUGUGUCCUUCAGAAUGAGUUCGUGCAGAUACAAUAAACCCAGGGAAGGACUUCAACCCUUUCAAUAUCUGAACCCCUGAAUCCAAGACUCACCACCAAGAACAGUGCCCCCCACAGCAGGAGAGUGGCUAUUACUGAGUGAAUGGAUAUCUAUGAUUCUGUAGCUGAGCUGGAGCACAGAAAUGCCAACACCAGUACAGGAAGCGGCCUUUCCAUUAUGCUUUAGACUGAGGAACUUUGAAGAAUCUACCCUGUGAAACGUGUUGUAUUUACUUGCUGAGUACUGUUGAGGUGGUCAUCCAUUAUAUCAUAGAUGGUCCUCUUUAUGUGGAGGCAGAGUUACCAAGAGGCUCAGGGAGUCCUGGAAGAGUCCAAGAUGGGAGGUCUAUUUUGCCUGUGUACGUAGGAACUCAGUCAACUGAAGACAGCCUCAUCUGGAACAUCUGGUUUGCUGGGACAGCACUGUGGAAACUUAACAUAUAGAUUUUACAAUAUUUAGUAAACCAGGAGGAACAAAUAUGUACACCCUCUUCUUUGAUCAAAAGAUCUUCAGCAUUCUACUGAGCUUUGGUAUCAGACCUGGAAUUUUGGUCUCAGAACCUGCGGCACGGAAGGUACAGCAGAGAAACUGCGCAUUUUAAUCUAAAGCAGAGCCCCUCGUGCCCAGGAAGCUGAAGAAUGGAUACUCUAGCUGUGAGUUGGGGCUUAGGAAGCCAGAUCAGGAACUGUUGCUGCUGCUACUGUCUCCAAAAUGGCUUCUCAACACCCAGAAAGCUGGAGAACGGACACUGGGAUGCUGCUACAGAGAUUUCCUCAUGGUUCCACAACCAUGCUGGCCAGCAGAAACAGACAAAGGCAGAAGGACGGUCUCCACCUCACCUCUGCCUUGCAAUCUCUCAGUGUGCGUUCAGCUCGAACUGCAAGGGAGUCUAGGAAAUGUAGCUUUUAGUUUUCCACUGUCUCCAAAUAGAAGGAGGCACAAAUGGAGGUUGAGUGAAGAAACUCAUGUUAUUGAGGCCAAAGAGAAAGCUACUCAACUCCUCAGGCUCAAUUUAAAUGAGGAUAAUUAUAACAGUACCAAUCACCAAAAGUCUUCGGGAUAAAGUAAGUAAGAAAAAGAGGUAUGAAGUAAAAAUAUAUCAAAUAUCAAAUUUGGUAGUGCUUAUUCAGCUGUGAUCUGCAGAGCAUUAAUUCAACAAAUAUUUAUGUUUCAGGCAUUGUUCUAGGCACAUGGGAUGGAUCACUAAACAAAAUGAACAAAAACCCUGCCCUGAGGGGCUUCGCUUCUAAUGGAGAAAGAGGGCUAACAAAACAAAAUAAUAGUAAUAAGGAAAUUAUAUAGUAUUUUAGAAGGACAAGGGCUAUGAGACGAGGGGGAAGAGUACUUUGGGGAAUGCCAGAAACAGGGGAGGCCUCACUGGGAAGGCAGGAUUUGAGCGAAGGCUCGGAGAAGUGUAAGAAUGAGGCAAGUGAAUGCUGGGAAGUUUGAGGGAAGAAUUCUAGCAAAUGCCCUGAGGAGGCAGUGUGCCCGGCGUGUCAAAAAUGGAACAAAACAGCAUCAAAGAAGUCAGUGUGCUGGAGAGGAGAGUAAGAAGAGGAGAGGACGAGGAGCCAGGCCGGGGUUGCAGGGCAGCUGGGUCACAUGGGGGCUCUAGCCCUCUGCCGGGGCCUGAGCUCUUCCUCUGAGUGAGACUGAAGCCCUUGGAGAGUUCUCAUCAGAGGGACCAUGACCCUACUUACGUUUUAAAGGAUCACCCUUGUUCGGCCAUGAGAGAAAAGGAAAUUCUGCCGCUUGCAACAACAUGCAUGGAACUCGAGGACAUUAGGCUAGUGAGAUAAGACAGGAAAAGACAACUACUGGAUGAUAGCUCUUAUAUGUGGAAUCUAAAAUACCUGAAAUUGUAAAAGCAGAGAGUAAAAC
ensembl:lncRNA